GAUGAACGCUGGCGGCGUGCCUAAUACAUGCAAGUCGAACGGGGAGUACUUACUUCGGUUUUUACUCCUAGUGGCGAACGGGUGAGUAACGCGUUGGUGACCUGCCCCGAAGCGGGGGAUAACAGUUCGAAAGGACUGCUAAUACCCCAUGUGGUCGUACUGGUUAGAGGCUGUACGACUAAAGGAGUAAUCCACUUCGGGAGGGGCCUGCGUCCCAUCAGCUAGUUGGUAAGGUAACGGCCUACCAAGGCGAUGACGGGUAGGGGACCUGAGAGGGUGGUCCCCCACACUGGCACUGAAACACGGGCCAGACACCUACGGGUGGCAGCAGUAGGGAAUAUUGCACAAUGGGCGAAAGCCUGAUGCAGCAACGCCGCGUGCGCGAAGAAGGCCUUCGGGUUGUAAAGCGCUUUUCUGGAGGAAGAGGAAGGACGGUACUCCAGGAAUAAGGAUCGGCUAACUACGUGCCAGCAGCCGCGGUAACACGUAGGAUCCGAGCGUUAUCCGAAUUUACUGGGCGUAAAGCGCGUGUAGGCGGUCGGGUAAGUUGGACGUGAAAGCUCCUGGCUCAACUAGGAGAGGUCGUUCAAAACUGCCUGGCUAGAGGGCGACAGAGGGAGGUGGAAUUCCCGGUGUAGUGGUGAAAUGCGUAGAUAUCGGGAGGAACACCAGUGGCGAAGGCGGCCUCCUGGGUCGCACCUGACGCUCAGACGCGAAAGCUAGGGGAGCAAACGGGAUUAGAUACCCCGGUAGUCCUAGCUGUAAACGAUGUGGACUUGGCGUUGGUGGGGUUAAAUCCAUCAGUGCCGUAGCUAACGCGAUAAGUCCACCGCCUGGGGACUACGGUCGCAAGAUUAAAACUCAAAGGAAUUGGCGG
rnacentral:rRNA from 1 species